CACUGAAGCAAGGGAACGAGGCGGACGCAGGGCGGAAGAUACAGAUGCUUUUCGGGGAGGAGAUGCUUCUCCGUUUCGUGCGUGUUUCGUUGUUUUGGGAUUUAUUUUCCUUGACCAGGAUGCGGUCACAGCAAUAACUGCCGACAGCGGAUACGUGUACCAAUUAUAGUGCCACACACAGCCGUUCACGACCAUGGUCGCUGCGUCGAGCCACCAGAAGAACUGCACCAGCUCCAGCUCCACCUCCACGGAUCCUCUUCCAUUGACAAGGAAUGAGAACCGGAAAUGCGCGCACUGCCGCAAGUCCUUCAUCUCGGCUAAGGGAUUGAGCAGUCACGAAGCGAAGUGCACUGCAGGACGCAAUAAUAGCAGUCCAAACCAUGUUAAAUUUUCAAGGUUUCUUACUAGCUUCAGUGACGUUUAAAAUAAUUAUUUCGUUAUUUCUCUGAUCGUUUCUCUGAAAGCUUUAUAUUAACCGUCCGAUUUUUAUUAAAUUAAGUUCGAAGUCUUAAAAAUAUAAAAAAUGAUAUUCCCAAUAUUAUAAGAUAAUAUGUCAAAAACUCCGAAGCUAUUAUUUGCUUCAUAAUUUUAUCCCACCAAUUUUCCGCAUUAGGAACGACAGCUUUGGGAUACAGUCGUCUGAGUUUGAUAAAAAUUAAAUUCGACAUUCCGAACUUAUCAAAAGUUUAUUUCCAAGCUUAUAAGGAAAUAUGCACACCAAAGAUAAUAAAUAAUAUGAAAUUUAA